ACCCUAUCAAUGUGGUCUCUGCUGUGUACAUAGCUGUAAGUAGUGCAAUAUUGCUUAUAGGGUUU
rnacentral:pre_miRNA from 1 species